GGGCUUCCCCCGGAAUCCGGCCGCGUGAUUGGCCGCAGACUGGAAUCGCGCUCGUGACGUCACUAGGGACGGCUCCGGAGGGCGUUAGACUCUUCCCCGGAAUCCGGAGGAAGUCUCCAGUUGCGUGUUCCUUGAGGAGCCAAGACUGUGUUUCCCACAAGCUUCUACUUUUUAAGGAAACGAUGUGGAGGACCGAUUUCGGAGAGCAGUAACAGAAAGUGAAAAAUGAAAGUGAAGUCGCUCAGUCGUGUCCGACUCUUCGCGACCCAGUGGACUGCAGCCUACCAGGCUCCUCCGUCCAUGGGAUUUUCCAGGCAAGAGUACUGGAGUGGGGUGUCAUUGCCUUCUCCCCUAAACGUAUUUAAAUUGUUUAUGUGUCUGUCUGCUUCAAAACUGGGACAGUGUCUUUUGAUUCCUGUAUCGUCACAUUCUAGUGUUUAGAUUUUAAGUGCUGUGUUAUUCUUUGAAUAAAUCAAAAGUGUGUGG
ensembl:lncRNA